AGAAGCAUACUGUUUUUCUGAAAUUUGUUGGAUUGUGAGUUGAAGUCAGUAACAACCAAGUGAUUGACUAAUUGUAAUAUUAACUAAAACACUUCUAUUAUUAGGAAAUGCCCUUUGUUGAAUUGUUGUACUGUGUGUGAUAUGCAGUUAUUUGCAGCUUAUAAUGGUAGGACAGAACGAAUGAGCCUGACAUGGUUGUAGACGAAGCGGUCACUUGUUUGUGGAUUGUCAAAAUAAGGCCCCUUGCCCGUGGUGUAAAGCUGUACAUGUGA
rnacentral:lncRNA from 1 species